rnacentral:rRNA from 1 species
AACGAUGAAACUCUAGCUUGCUAGAGAUGAUUAGUGGCGGACGGGUGAGUAACAUUUAGGAAUCUGCCUAGUAGUGGGGGAUAGCUCGGGGAAACUCGAAUUAAUACCGCAUACGACCUACGGGUGAAAGGGGGCGCAAGCUCUUGCUAUUAGAUGAGCCUAAAUCAGAUUAGCUAGUUGGUGGGGUAAAGGCCCACCAAGGCGACGAUCUGUAACUGGUCUGAGAGGAUGAUCAGUCACACCGGAACUGAGACACGGUCCGGACUCCUACGGGAGGCAGCAGUGGGGAAUAUUGGACAAUGGGGGCAACCCUGAUCCAGCCAUGCCGCGUGUGUGAAGAAGGCCUUUUGGUUGUAAAGCACUUUAAGCAGGGAGGAGAGGCUAAUGGUUAAUACCCAUUAGAUUAGACGUUACCUGCAGAAUAAGCACCGGCUAACUCUGUGCCAGCAGCCGCGGUAAUACAGAGGGUGCGAGCGUUAAUCGGAAUUACUGGGCGUAAAGCGAGUGUAGGUGGCUCAUUAAGUCACAUGUGAAAUCCCCGGGCUUAACCUGGGAACUGCAUGUGAUACUGGUGGUGCUAGAAUAUGUGAGAGGGAAGUAGAAUUCCAGGUGUAGCGGUGAAAUGCGUAGAGAUCUGGAGGAAUACCGAUGGCGAAGGCAGCUUCCUGGCAUAAUAUUGACACUGAGAUUCGAAAGCGUGGGUAGCAAACAGGAUUAGAUACCCUGGUAGUCCACGCCGUAAACGAUGUCUACUAGCCGUUGGGGUCCUUGAGACUUUAGUGGCGCAGUUAACGCGAUAAGUAGACCGCCUGGGG